UCAUUGAGGUGACAGUGACUGGUAUUCCAGA
rnacentral:piRNA from 1 species